UACGUAGGGUGCAAGCGUUGUCCGGAAUUAUUGGGCGUAAAGAGCUCGUAGGCGGUUUGUCGCGUCUGCUGUGAAAACCCGAGGCUCAACCUCGGGCUGCAGUGGGUACGGGCAGACUAGAGUGCGGUAGGGGAGAUUGGAAUUCCUGGUGUAGCGGUGGAAUGCGCAGAUAUCAGGAGGAACACCAAUGGCGAAGGCAGAUCUCUGGGCCGUAACUGACGCUGAGGAGCGAAAGCAUGGGGAGCGAACAGG
rnacentral:rRNA from 1 species